rnacentral:rRNA from 1 species
AACGAACGCUGGCGGCAGGCUUAACACAUGCAAGUCGAACGCCCCGCAAGGGGAGUGGCAGACGGGUGAGUAACGCGUGGGAACGUGCCCUUCGCUUCGGAAUAGCCCCGGGAAACUGGGAGUAAUACCGAAUACGCCGUAUUGGGAAAGAUUUAUCGGCGAAGGAUCGGCCCGCGUUAGAUUAGCUAGUUGGCGGUGUAAUGGACCACCAAGGCUACGAUCUAUAGCUGGUCUGAGAGGAUGAUCAGCCACACUGGGACUGAGACACGGCCCAGACCCCUACGGGAGGCAGCAGUGGGGAAUCUUGGACAAUGGGCGCAAGCCUGAUCCAGCCAUGCCGCGUGAGUGAAGAAGGCCUUAGGGUUGUAAAACUCUUUCGCCGGAGGAGAUAAUGACGGUAUCCGGAGAAGAAGCCCCGGCUAACUUCGUGCCAGCCGCCGCCGUAAGAC